UACGUAGGGGGCAAGCGUUGUCCGGAUUUAUUGGGCGUAAAGAGCUCGUAGGCGGUUUGGUAAGUCGGAUGUGAAAUCUCCAGGCUCAACCUGGAGGGGUCAUUCGAUACUGCCAUGACUAAAGUUCGGUAGGGGAGUGUGGAAUUCCUGGUGGAGCGGUGAAAUGCGCAGAUAUCAGGAGGAACACCGGUGGCGAAGGCGGGUCUCUGGGCCGAUACUGACGCUGAGGAGCGAAAGCGUGGGGAGCGAACAGG
rnacentral:rRNA from 1 species